AGGUAGAAUGGCUGAGUGGUAAGCGGUAGGCUGUAGACCUAUUCACACGGGUUUAAGUCCUGUUUCUAU
rnacentral:tRNA from 1 species